rnacentral:sRNA from 13 species
GGUGUCCACGCUAAGUUCGGUAUCGAUAUGGUGUUCCUGGGGGAGCCUGGGACCACCAGGUUGUCUAAGGAGGGGUGAACCGGCCCAGGUCGGAAACGAAGCAGGUCAAAUCCCCCGUGCUGUCCAGUAGUGGGAUAAUACCUGUGAGUUGAUGCUGCAGUGCAGCCUUGGCAAAACAUUGAGACCUAAUCUUUU